rnacentral:rRNA from 1 species
CCUACGGGUGGCAGCAGUGAGGAAUAUUGGUCAAUGGGCGCGAGCCUGAACCAGCCAAGUAGCGUGAAGGAUGACUGCCCUACGGGUUGUAAACUUCUUUUAUAAAGGAAUAAAGUGAGGCACGUGUGCCUUUUUGUAUGUACUUUAUGAAUAAGGAUCGGCUAACUCCGUGCCAGCAGCCGCGGUAAUACGGAGGAUCCGAGCGUUAUCCGGAUUUAUUGGGUUUAAAGGGAGCGUAGAUGGGUUGUUAAGUCAGUUGUGAAAGUUUGCGGCUCAACCGUAAAAUUGCAAUUGAUACUGGCAGUCUUGAGUACAGUUGAGGAGGGCGGAAUGCGUGGGGGAGCGGUGAAAGGCUUAGAUAUCACGAAGAACUCCGAUUGAGAGGGGAGCUUACUAAACGGCCACUGACAUUGAUGCUCGAAAGUGUGGGUAUCAAACAGGAUUAGAUACCCUAGUAGUC